UCCUCUAAACGAUUGCUUCUGGUGCCCGUACCGCAAACCGACACAGGUAGAUGAGGAGAGAAUCCUAAGGUGACUGAGAGAACCCUCGAGAAGGAAUUCGGCAUAAUGGCUCCGUAACUUCGGAAGAGGGAGCACCUCAAAGUAUGUGAUCAGACUUGCUCUGUGAGCAGAAUGGGGUCGCAGAGAGUCGGCCUGGGCGACUGUUUACUAAAAACACAGGUCUCUGCUAAAUCGCAAGAUGAUGUAUAGGGACUGACACCUGCCCGGUGCUGGAAGGUUAAAAGGAGGGGUUAGCCGCAAGGCGAAGCUCUGAAUUGGAGCCCCAGUAAACGGCGGCCGUAACUAUAACGGUCCUAAGGUAGCGAAAUUCCUCGUCGGGUAAAUUCCGACCUGCACGAAUGGUGUAACGAUUUGGGCGCUGUCUCCUCGGGGCUCUCAGCGAAAUUGUAGUUCCGGUGAAGAUGCCGGAUACCCACAGUAGGACGGAAAGACCCCGUGAACCUUUACUAUAGCCUGGCAUUGGGUUUUGGCAUGUCAUGUAGAGCAUAGGUGGGAGACUAUGAAGCGGGGGCGUCAGCCCUCGUGGAGUCACCAUUGGAAUACCACCCUUGGUAUGUCGAAAUUCCAACCAUGUACCUUGAAACAGGUACUGGGACAUUGUCUGGUGGGUAGUUUGACUGGGGCGGUCGCCUCCCAAAACGUAACGGAGGCGCCCAAAGGUUCCCUCAGUGCGGUCGGUAAUCGCACGAAGAGUGUAAAGGCAGAAGGGAGCUUGACUGCGAGACCUACAAGUCGAGCAGGUGGGAAACCAGGGCUUAAUGAUCUGACAGUAGCGCGUGGAAGCGCUGAAACUCAACGGAUAAAAGGUACUCCGGGGAUAACAGGCUUAUCUCCCCCAAGCGCCCACAGCGACGGGGAGGUUUGGCACCUCGAUGUCGGCCCAUCGCAUCCUGGGGCUGGAGAAGGUCCCAAGGGUUUGGCUGUUCGCCAAUUAAAGCGGUACGCGAGCUGGGUUUAGAACGUCGUGAGACAGUUCGGUCCCUAUCCACUGUGGGCGUUAGGAAAUUUGAGGAGUGCUGUCCCUAGUAUGAGAAGACCGGGAUGGACGAACCUCUGGUGUGCCAGUUGUUCUGCCAAGGGCAGUGCUGGGUAGCUAUGUUCGGAUGGGAUAACCGCUGAAAGUAUCUAAGUGGGAAGCCCACUCCAAGAUGAGAUUUCCCUAUCAGGACCCAUGGAGACUACGUGGUUGAUAGGCCGCAGGUGUACGUGCAGCAAUGCGUUCAGCCGAGCGGUACUAAUAGUCCGACCGACUUAAUC
rnacentral:rRNA from 1 species